CUGAAUUAAGAUCUGAACUCCAGUCCAAUCUUGACUCUGAAGAUUUUCUUCAAUUUAUUUACUCAGCUGUGGGAAAACCUGCUCCUCAAAUAUCUCUUUUCCCAGCACAAGUCUUGAUUAAUCCACCAGAGGAAUACCUUGCUCAGAAUCCAAAUGGCACAGUGACUAUCUCUAAAACGUACAACGUCUCCUUAGAGACUGUUAGGUCCCUAAGACUCCAACACCUGAUUGUGUACAUGGAUCAUCCUCUAAGGAAUGAAGAGAAGAUUGUUCCUCUGUCAGUGAAACAAGAAUGUACUUCUGGUUCUUCUUCUAUUUGGCUGCCUAUAGUUGGUGCAUUCAUAAUUUUUCUACGUAUUUCACUUAUUAUUGUCUUUAUUGUUUGGAGAAAGAAAAGGUCACAGAAUGUGCUUGAAACACCCUAGCUGACACAGCCUGACAUGGAGACCUUCAAGAGCCACUUUCUUCCUGU